GGUAACGUUUUACCGGGCCUUACGCGUUUCGUGACAAUCUGUCACUUCAUCAGAGGAAGUGACAGAUUGUCACGAAAACGCGUAAGGCUGCAUCUUACCGA
rnacentral:miRNA from 1 species